GGGGUGGUAGCUGAGUGGCCCAGCAUACGGACUAUUAAUCCGUAGUACGUAGGUUCGAGUCCUACCCACACCCA
rnacentral:tRNA from 1 species